rnacentral:rRNA from 1 species
AACGUAGGACGCAAGCGUUAUCCGGAGUUACUGGGCGUAAAGCGCGCGUAGGCGGAAGCGCUAGUCCGGCCUGAAAGCCCCCGGCUCAACCGGGGAGAGUGGCUGGAACUGCGUUUCUUGAGGGCGAGAGAGGAGGGUGGAAUUCCUGGUGUAGCGGUGAAAGUGCGUAGAGAUCAGGAGGAACACCCGGGGCGAAGGCGGCCCCUCGUGGCUCCGACCCUGACGCUGAGGCGCGAAAGCGUGGGGAGCGAACGGG